CAUGUUCGGGGACAGUAAAUAUUCGAUUGGUCCGGUCCACUAUUACCUCCGGGGGGUAACACCAGUCCUGGAGAUUCUCCUACAAGUGACAAGACCAGCAGUUUUUGUAAUUUCAUUUUUCCUACAAGUGACACAGGCAAAAAUAUCUCCUUACAUCUGAAAACUGAGGCUUGGCCAUCACUGCUUGUGGCCACAUUAUUCCAAGAUCAAUUGGGCCAUUCUCCAGGGUGAUCGUAGGACUAACCUAUGCCGUACUUGACACCGUACGUAUUUGCGGUUUCAUUGUGUGAGGUCCGACACACGCCAUCACUGCUGUAUCCGACUGUAUUGAUCCAUCGCCCCGGCGUACCAUCCUCAGCUAUGUCAGAGAGCACGUAUUUGAGCAGCAAAGAAUGGCUUGUCUGGAGUCAGCGGUUCUAAACACUGAAGGAAAUUACUCGUCUCCGAAAACUGCUUUAGCUGGACAUCUGAGAUCUGACCAGGCAUCGGGGGGUGGUCAGUGAAGAGGAUGUCCCCAGCACUUCGAAACUGACCAGGCAUAGUUAUGUCUUGUGGUCAAUCAAACAGCUAGUACAGUCUAUGGGCAAUAGAAACUUAACAUUAAAAUGAACUACUUCAUUUCACUAACACAUGUGUAACCAAGUUUACUACUGUAGCACUUUAAAUGAAAGCAUUAAAACCUUGGUGGAGUUUCCUGUCAGAAGAGCCAUCUGAACCUCACAGAAAAUAUAUUAUGACAAUUACGAGCCACCUUUAGAUGUCUAUCAAGUUCAUUUUUUGGACAAAUAAAUUUCCUUUAGCAAGUUAGCAACACCACGAAAAUAACUGAUACACUGAAUAUCAUCAGCAACAGAAAUUAGAAAAAGCUGCAGGGUUUUAAAAACAUUAAUGGCAAGUUGGCAAGGAGGCCCACUUGUAUUUAUACAUGUAUAUAAAAGAUCUAGUAAGAAAUUUUAAGAAGAAGAAUGCAUUUUUUUUUUGUUAAUAAUAAUAUUAACAUGUACAAAGUAUGAUAUCUUUAAUCAUUUCAAUUUCAAGUUUAUAUAGUAAAUCAUAUCAUAAAAAAUUCAUUAGAAAAACACUUAGGCGUGUUAUAUUUGUAUAAAUUGUCAAAUGCAGGGACCAUGUCUUAGGCAAGUUUAUUUUUUUAUUUGCAGUUUUGCAUUUUCAUUCAUUCUCAAUGUGGAUAUCAUGUUGAAGGCAAAAAUUCAGCACUGACUAAAGUUUACUAUUAAACUGAAUUGUAAUUUU